rnacentral:rRNA from 1 species
UCUCUCUGAAUCUGCGAACGGCUCCGCAAACCAGUUGUAAACUAUGGCAAGAAAGCCCCUGAUCCGGCUCACGCCGGGGACGGCGGGUGAUAGGGACACCCCUGGUAAUUCUGAGGCUAAUACCUGGCCGUACACCCUGGCUGCUUCUCAGCGGCUGGGGACCGUGCGAACCAUUGCAACGGGAAAACCGGGAAAGGACGCACAGUCAAACCGCGGCACAAGGAGUCUGGUGGCGCCUCCGGGCAAAGCCGGUCUUCGCGGGCCUUGCAGUGUGCUUCUGACCUAUCAACUGCACAGCAGUGUAACGGACAUGCUGUGGUUACAACGGGUACAGAGGAUUAGGGUUCGAUCCUGGAGAGUGGGCCUGAGAGAUU